AUACGGUAGGGUCAGAUCAUAUGUUGCAAUUAUUCUUCUCUUUUCUGUAUAUUAAAACAGAUAGAAGUAAUUAACCCCAAUAACCCUAUUUUUCCAAAUCUUGCGUUUUUCUUAGUCAUUUGAAUUUUUCGUUGUUAAUCCAAAAAAAAUUAGGAAAUGGCAGCAGAUAUAUGUGAUCCGGCUUUCUUUUU
rnacentral:telomerase_RNA from 1 species